AGGGUUUGAUCCUGGCUCAGAGUGAACGCUGCGGCGUGGAUUAGGCAUGCAAGUCGAGCGAUCUUGAUAUUGCAAGGAGACCGACCUUCGGGAAGGUCAACGAGUGAUAUUCGGAUAGCGGCAAACGGGUGAGUAAUAGAUGGGUAACGUACCUUGAGGGGGAGCAUAGCCUCGCGAAAGCGUGGGUAAUACUCCAUGUGCUCUGGAAUCUGAAAUGAUCCAGUGGAAAGAUGGCCUCUACUUGUAAGCUAUCGCCUUAAGAGCGGCUCAUAUCCUAUCAGGUAGUUGGUGAGGUAAUGGCCCACCAAGCCUAAGACGGGUAGCUGGUCUGAGAGGAUGGUCAGCCACAUCGGGACUGAGACACUGCCCGGACUCCUACGGGAGGCUGCAGUCGAGAAUCUUUCUCAAUGGACGAAAGUCUGAAGAUGCGACGCCGCGUGGGGGAUGAAGGUUUUCGGAUUGUAAACCCCUUUUAUCUUGGAGGAAUCUUUAAUGGUGAAUAAUCAUUAAAGUUGGCUGUACUUGAUGAAUAAGCCACGGCUAACUCCGUGCCAGCAGCCGCGGUAAUACGGAGGUGGCGAGCGUUACUCGGUUUGACUGGGUGUAAAGGGUCCGUAGGCGGCCAAAUAAGUGAACGGUGAAAUCCUUCGGCUUAACCGGAGAAGUGCCUUUCAAACUGUUUGGCUUGAGGCCGAAAGAGGAGAGUAGAACUGUCAGUGUAAAGGUGAAAUUUGUGGAUAUUGACAGGAAUGCCCGUGGAGAAGUCGGCUCUCUGGUUCAGACCUGACGCUGAGGGACGAAAGCUAGAGGAGCGAACAGGAUUAGAUACCCUGGUAGUUCUAGCUGUAAACGAUGGGCACUAGGUGUUCGUCCUUUUAGGAUGGAUGUCGUAGGUAACCCGAUAAGUGCCCCACCUGGGGACUACGGCCGCAAGGCUAAAACUCAAAGGAAUUGACGGGGGCCCGCACAAGCGGUGGAACACGUGGUUUAAUUCGAUGCUACGCGAGGAACCUUACCAGGGCUUGACAUGCUAGAAGUAGCUUUGAUGAAAGUCGAAGCGAUCGGUAACCAGUCCGGAACUAGUGCAGGUGCUGCAUGGUUGUCGUCAGCUCGUGCCGUGAGGUGUUCCCUUAAGUGGGAGAACGAGCGCAACCCUCGCCUUUAGUUGCCACUUUUUCGAUUUUAUCGGAAGAAGCACUCUAAAGGGACUGCCCGCGUUAAGUGGGAGGAAGGCGGGGACGACGUCAAAUCCGCAUGGCCCUUAUGUCCUGGGCUACACACGUGUUACAAUGCCUACUACAACGGGAUGCUAAGCCGCGAGGUGGAGCAAAUCCUUAAAAAGUAGGCCCAGUUCGGAUCGAAGGCUGCAAUUCGCCUUCGUGAAGCUGGAAUCGCUAGUAAUGGCGCAUCAGCUACGGCGCCGUGAAUACGUUCCCGGGCCUUGUACACACCGCCCGUCAAGCGCUGAAAGUGGGGGGCGCCCGAAGCUCCGUUUUACGGAGUCACGGUGAACUUCAUGAUUGGCGCUAAGUCGUAACAAGGUA
rnacentral:rRNA from 1 species